rnacentral:rRNA from 1 species
GGAUGCGAUCAUACUAGCACUAAAGCACCGGAUCCCAUCAGAACUCUGAAGUUAAGCGUGCUUGGGCGAGAGUAGUACUAGGAUGGGUGACCUCUUGGGAAGUCCUCGUGUUGCAUUCC